AGCAGCAGCCUGGUGCCUGAUCGUGCCUUAAACAGGCUUAAAUUCUCGGCCGCAGCGCUGUGCCAGCCCACAAAACACAGGGAAACUCUGAUGAAUUAACAGCAGCGAUUCCGGCUGUAUUUGAUAACACUGGCAUGUGGCUACGGGCUCGAGUGUGGAAAUCCAUGGGUUACACGGGUUCAUGGCUGGGCUUGCAGCUCACUGACGCGUGUUUGUGUCUGCUGCUGGCCCCAGACAGGCUGGGCUGAAGAUGUUGUUCUGCUCCUUGGUGGUCAAGGUUGGCAGGGGUUUGUUCCGUACAAUUUGUUCUGCAGACUCAGCCAAUAAAUCCCAAAUUAAUAUCACCAGGAUCAGGGACUCCUUGAUGACUUCCUUGAGAUAUGUGUCUGACCUGACCAGUGCUCACCCUUUAAAAAGUUGAGUUUGAAGAACAAAAAACGUGACACUGCCAGAAAGAAAGACUAGUUUAAUAUUACUAUUACUUCAUAACUGUGGGCUUCAGUGUCAGUGGCCAUCCAUUAUACCUUUCAUAAUCAUGCUUUAGAAAAUAAAGAUCUACCUUCUCACACUUCAGAAUUCCAUCCUUGGCUUUCUGGAGUUAAUAUUAGCACAGCUCAAACAGGCUUCGUUGGAAGCUAGAGCAGCAAAAUCAGUCAAAAAACACAACUAUGUUAAAUAUUAAAACCUUGUUAGGAAGCCAGUGGGGAUUUCCCUCCAGCAACCUGUAAAUGUCACUCACAAUAUUUUCACAGCAUAUUUUCCCCUACCCAGCAAAGAAAUCUCUUUGUGCCUUACAACAUCCGCUGUGCUCAGACACUCCUCAUGGGCAAAACAUGGUGGCUUGGGGUUUUUCUGGGUUUUUUUCCCCUUGGGGAUCACAUUAGUUGGAGUCUGCCUGACUCCUAAUCCCUACAAUAUGACACAGCAGCAAUAAAGUGAGCAAAGAGAUCAUGAACAUAAUGUAAAACUGAUUGCUGUGUAUUGAUCCAGACUGCAGAAGGACUGAGUUUGCAGAAUUUAGUCACAUGGAUAAAGGUAAGGAAAUUGGAGAGGCUGUAGUAGGGAGGUGGUGUCAGCCCUGUCCUCCCUGGGGUUCUGCUUUAUAUUGCUUGCUGUUGAGCCAUACAAAACUCUUUGGCUCUGUGGUUUGAAGAUGACAUUCCUGUCUCAGCAUUGCUGCCAGCUGGCUGGGGGUGUCUCCAUGGCUCCUGCAACCACUCACAACUGAGUUGGAAAGUUUGAAUUUGCCCAGAGUUCACAGUUUGCUUUCAGUAGUCUGACCUUCUGGAAUUGGACCUGAGAGUAUCUCUAUAACCUCUUUCCACUAGCAAAGAAACAGAUGGGAGGGGAUGGGAAGAGAGUGGAAGGCAAAAGGAAAGGGAAUCCCCAGCAGAGAAGCAGCUGCAUGUGAUUAUUAACUACAGACACUGGUUUUGAGGGGAAAGCCCUUCCUACAGGCUUAGUGGUAAACCAAUUUUCCCCUCUUUACCCCUGUGGGUCAGCCUGAGGCUGAAGGUGAGUCCUGCAGCAUGGAUACAAUUUUCCGUGCCUCUCUUGUAUGAAUCAUGGGUUGAUCCACUCAGUGCUGAAAUGUGUCCAGUCCUGGUCAGCAAACUGAGCCAGAGCCAAGCCCAGCUGUGCAGGACUGACCUCAGUGCUCAUCUGCUGAGGUUCACAACACAGUUCUUGGAGCAUGUUCACUGAGUCAGGAGCUAUGCCACUGGAUUCAUCUCAGUGAAUUGGUCAGAGCAGCUUUAAAAAGAAAUUUCGCAUCAGUUGCUUAGCAUGAAAUGACCUUUACGUAGAGCUGGCUUACCCCUCAGUUGACAUUUGCCCAGGAAGCCCUGAUCUAGCUGAAAAGCUCGGGUCUGUGUUUCUCGUGCACCAGAGAGGUACUUUCAAAGCCAGUAAUUAAUUGUGUCAGAGAUGCAGGGGAAAGCCAUAUCCUCAAAGUGACAUUUGAGCCAUGCACCCUCCCAUGACUUUAAUGUUUUCCAGUUGCAAUGAUAAGAGUCAUGUUAUCUGCUCAUGCAGGGAACGUAACAAACUGUUUGAUUUUCUACCUUAUGUUUCAUUGACAUUAUCUCUGAACUAAAUGUUGUUAAUGUUCUGCUGCAUUUUGUAUUAACAGCAAAGCCCUCUGUUCCCCUUGGGAAAAAUAAACUAGAGCUGCAUCAUCUUUGUGGAUCAGAAGGAAAGGAUGACAGCCAUGAGGUUGCUUCCUGCUGCUUUCUUUUCUGACUGUCACCUUUCUGCUAAACCCCGUGGUGGCAGUGACACCAGUCCAGCCUGAGAAACCUCCUCUCCUCCAGACCAUCGGAGACUCAGUGGGUGAUUUCUGGAGACUCAGAGAAGAAAGGCUGCUUUAAAGCAGCCCAAGCUCCCCAAGGCGCGUGGCGUGGCUGGGCUUGUGAACUGUGGUGUUCGCAGCCUGGAUCGCUCUGCGGGUAAGAACAGCCGUCGCUUCACCAGCAGAGCAGGAGUCCAUGUGCCAUGCCAGGGCUGGAAGAGGGGAAGCCUUUUCAGGAGACCUUUCUACUACAAAAAGGAAAAACAGACCAUUCUGGCAUGUGUUCAAACUCCAAAGAACUCCACUCCCAUUGUUUUUCUGGAGGCAGCAGAUCUCCAAUGGCAAUCUCAGCAUAGAACUGGUACUACAGAUGUAGACAAGGUAGAGGAAGGAAGUCAGAGCAGAUUAAUAAUUUACUCCUGCUCAGAGCUGUUUAGUGACCCUAAAUCAAAAUAAAAACAUUACAGUAUUGCAGGUAUUGCCAAAUUGCAGAGAAGUUGCCUUUGCAGCAGGAAAGUCCUUCUUUGAGUUGAUCUUGAGGUCAUUCAUACUCCCAUGAAAUGUCUCGGCCCCCUGCACUGGAGCAAUGGGCUCUCCGCAGGGCUGGCAGAAGCCAGGAUUUGCUGGUGCUUCACUGUUGUCACAAACAUGUCCUCACCAGCAGAGCCAGGCAAAGACCACAGCCUGCAAACAGCGAUGUUGGUGCUGGUUCCCAUCCGCUCCUGCCGGCCCUGCAAGAGGAGCAGCAGGACAAGGACUGGGAGCUGGACACAAUAGCAGCAUACCCAAGAGUGGCAGGGAGUGGGCAGGGAGCUCCUGACUGCCAGAGCUGGCACUUUGCCUCUGGUUACUCAUCUUCCCUGGAGCUUAGCCUCGAGGAAUGCAGCCCCAGGCAAUGCAUUCCUGAUCCCACAAGGGUUGUGCUGGGCAAGGCAAACAGGACCUGCUUCUGUGGCACCUGCUCACUGUGACUGUGGAAUGGGCUGUAUUGCCAGGGCUGGGAGGCACGGGGAGGAUGGGCAGCAGCACCUCAGGGGGAUCCAAGGCAGGAGCAUAAAGAUUCAGGGCACUGGGGUUUACAGCUAAUGCCAUGCCCUAAGGCUGCACUGAUCCCAGCCUCAGUGUGCCUGAGGCCACCGACCCUGCUGCAGCUCCCAGAGGCUGGGUUUGGCAUGGCUGCUCCCACAGAGGCACCUGAGGCUUGAGGGAAUAAAAGCCCAUUUCUUCUGCUCUUUAAAUCUGUCCCCUUUUGCUUUCAGAGAUGAAACCCGACCAAGAACCAGCACAGCUGAAGGAGCUGGCUGCUCCUGCUGCAGUAGCACCCAUUGGUGUUUCCCCACUGGAAUACAGGAGGAGGAUACUGCCUCCCAACAGCACAGUGAUGUAGAGCUGUUCUCCACGAGGAAACAGGAGCCUGAGCUCCUGCUCUGCCCUGAAAGCAGCACCUGGGAAGGGGCAGGACUGCUGCUGCCCCUUCAGCGGCCACACUUGCCAAGGAGUGCCUGGUCCAAGUCACAGGAACCAUCACAGCUCCUGCAGAGAUGCCUUUCCAGAUCUUCUUUACAGUAGGCACAACAGUGCGGGUACAAGUGAUCUGCUACAGUCACAGAAUGCCUUAGAAACUGCAUUUCUAGGAUGAUCACAGCCCUUAUGUUAAAGCCAAGUGCUACAAUUAAAAAUAGACAAGCUCUACCAGUGUUUUUACAGAAAGGGAUGAGCCAAGACAAGAACCACAAAAUCUGGUCUAAUUCAACAGCAACCUGGCCUAAUCCAGGCAGAAAGACAGCAUGCAUCAGGGCAGAUUUAUACUGCAAAACUGGAAAUGUAUUUUUAGAAUUGAGCCUGGAAAGUGUCACUUCAGAAGCAGAUCAAGCACGUCAUGGCAGGAUCAUUAUGGGAUUUGCAGAGCACCUUCCAUCACAGGAGUCUCCUGAGGUGACUUCAUGUUAAACCUUCCAGAAGUCCAAGCUCAUUCCUGCAGGUGUAACAAGCCCAGCACAGCUGGGAGGGGAAGGCUCAUCCCCAGCCUGCUCCACACUGCUCAGGGCCACACCAGGCACUCGUGGGGCUGCUCCAACCCAGUGGGCAAGUCAGCAAAGGAACCAGAGCACUCUGUUCUCCCCAGGAAACCCACAGCAACCUCCCUGUCUAUGCCCCUGCCAGCACCCUGUGCUGCCCCACUUCUGCUUUGGGGAAAAAACAAAAAAAACAACAAAAAAAAAACAAACCAAACCAAAAGGGCUUUAUUAGCCAGCUGCUGCUUUCUGGCAGUGUUAAAUCCAUGCAAUCUCCUACAGCUGAAAAGCAAAUUAGUUCAUUAAAUCACCUGCUUUACACAUUGCACUGCCCAGAUCAGGGCAGCCACACACAAACCAGAACACUGGCUGCUCAUUUCCAAAGGCACUUCUGCAGAGCUUCACUGAACUUUAAGGCUAGAACAGUACCUACACUCAAUGUCAUUUUCCCAUUCAGUCCCUUGUCAGUUCCUUAUACCUGCAGUGGUAUCCCAGGGAACAGUCCUGUCCCAUCUGCUGCUUGCAUCACCAAAUGCUUCUUGCCAGUCCAGGAGAUCUUUAAAAGCACGUGAAGGCCACAGAUCUCACCUGGGCUGGCCUUUGCAGCUGCAAGGGGCUGCUUUAGGCUGUCACAAGUGGAGCUGUGAUUUUCUUAAAGCCAGCAAGGUGCCAACUCUUGCAGCAUCAAAAUUUGUUCAAAAGGAUUUGCCUUAAAGUUCAGAGUGCUUCAGUAAUCUGUUUGAGUACUUUUAAUGUGAAAUUCACUUUACCAUUUACAGAGGACUAUUGCAGUCGUUUAUCAAAGACCAGAAUUCUGGGGGAACUCAAACAGGGUACCAGAGUUAGAGAUGCUGUUGUUGGUGAUGGAACUUGCUCCUCAAACUACUCAACCAUUGCUAUGCUGCCUCUGACAGUGGGAUUUCCCUGUGUCAAGUGUCUGAAUGCCCAUGUUUGACCCUUCUAAAAAUGGGAUUAAACAAGCCAAAUC